GCAUUUAAUUUUAUUUAUUUAUUUUCGGUUCAUUUCCUGGGAAAUUGUGGCCAAUGCCAUUUAUCAUAGUUUCCGCGAAAAUCAUGAAACCGUGAUUUAACAAAAACCCAGGAAAAGGAGAAGGCAGCACUUGUAACCUAUCCUUGAUGAAGUACUUUGUUACUUACCAUUACUGAACUUGGAAGGAUACAAUAUCCAAUUGUGAGUUCCAGUAACUCCAGCAAAAAACUUCCCAGAAACAGAAAACCUGUUGACCCUCUUCACCAAGGCCCUUAAUCUUCUGCAUAAAGGUUCCAUUCAGGAUCAACUCUGCUGAAACACUAUGCAAGAGCCUGCUCUCUUCGUUUUUCUGGCACAGCUACAAGUGGCUAGGAAUGGAAGUGCUGUGAGAAAGCUUGUGCUCCAUUCUCUGCCAAAUUUUGUAUUCCCAGUGGGGUCACAUUAAGAGAUGAGGUCAGUGGUAUGCAUUAAGUGUCAUUAAGUGAUAGAAUUAGGCAGGGAUGAAUUUUUCCCAAGGAGGAGAAUUUUCUUCUCUAAUCUGCAUUGCAGAUCUUUUGCCCUUGAUGUGUAUUUAAAGCAUAUGGCCAACUACAGUACAAACACUGACAUCAGUGGAAACCAUGCUUAAGCAGGUGCAGCGCAUGUAGUGUUUAGAU